rnacentral:rRNA from 1 species
GCGUGGAGACAGGUGGUGCAUGGCUGUCGUCAGCUCGUGUCGUGAGAUGUUGGGUUAAGUCCCGCAACGAGCGCAACCCUCGCCCCUGGUUGCCACCGGGUAAAGCCGAGCACUCGAGGGGAACUGCCAGCGUCAAGCUGGAGGAAGGCGGGGAUGACGUCAAGUCAUCAUGCCCCUUACGCCCUGGGCUACACACGUGCUACAAUGGCCGGUACAAAGGGACGCGAGACCGCGAGGUGGAGCUAAUCCCAAAAAACCGGGUCUAAGUUCAGAUUGCAGUCUGCAACUCGACUGCAUGAAGGAGGAAUCGCUAGUAAUCGCGCAUCAGCACGGCGCGGUGAAUACGUUCCCGGGCCUUGUACACACCGCCCGUCACACCACGAAAGCUGUCUGUACUCGAAGUCGCUGAG